rnacentral:lncRNA from 1 species
CAGGAUUAAAAGAUAAACUAUUGUUGCAUUUAGAACUGUGUUUAGAAUACAAUAAUUUGUUGUUGUUUUGUAAUAGGACUGAAGCCAAUAUUAAAGCAAGUCAACCAAAGGUUCUCUGGUGUAGACAAGACAGCAAAAGGACAGACUACCUUGUGGAACCUAGCAUUGUUCUCCUUCUGCAGCACUAAGUAACAUUUGUUCUCCGUUAAGAUCUUUGCAAACCACACACAAGAAUUGCUGGUCAUCCUGCCAAUAGAUGCUGCUCACAGAACCAAAUUUCCUGUGCUGAAUUGUCACUCAUGGGCUUGAGAGUAGGAGACUGGAGACCAAGGUGGCUAGAAUCCAGUUGGGCCUGAUGUCUCCCUGUUGAAAGGGCUCCUUGUGGAAUGAAUAGCACAUGGCUCCUGUGGUGGAUCUGAUAGUGGCAUAGCACCAAGUGAUGCAGGCCUGCCAGGGGCCACAGACACAGAAGAUGCUCCCGGGGUCCCCCAUGUACUCCAGACACACUGCAGGCCACCUCUCCCAGCAGGUUGCCAGUCAUGGGCCCCAUCAUCAUGACUUCUGUCCAAGGUACUGUGUGCAGAAAUGUGAUUGAGAUUCAAGUCAGGGCCUCUCUGCCCUUUUCCCUCCAGAAACAAAACCAAGAUAAUUUAUCCUGAACACGGUGAAAAAAGGAAGGGAGGGAGGAGAAAAAGUCCGGGUCUCACCUGGGAUUCUCUGUCUCCUGCAACAUGAAGGAUUUAGCCUGGGAGGAGGUGGUGAGAACUCUGGGAGAGAAAAAAGAAGGAAAGAAUAGUUUUACCCAUGCUGAAGUUAAUUUAAACCUUCACCUAGAGAAGCAAAAAAAAAAAACCCACACUUUCCCAUUUUGUGCCUCCCUUCCUAGAGUUUUAGCCAAAGGUUUAGCUAAGUAAUUGGUUUUACCAGCGCACUCACUCCUCCUAUCCCAAGUCUGUUUGACUCCCUCCCCAUCAUCCUCCUCACCUCUUUUCAGGCAGGGUGGGGAUAGCAGCAGGAGGAGAUUUUGGGAGCCUGGCAACUCCUGCAAGGACCGCAGGACAGCCCCUCUGUGGGGAUGCGUGGUGCCCCAUCUGCCGCCCUUCUGAAGAAUGCACUGCCUUCACUUUUUACUGUGUUAGAGUCCAUCCAGACUGUUCUAUCCAAAAAAGUUUCUUUUUCCCCCACAGGCAAUCAGGAAAUGAUUCCUUUCCCGACUGCUUCUGUCUAGUGCCUGGGAAUCUUGAGUCAAUCCCUCAGUAAGUCAGUGACUAGGGAAAUCCCUCUCUGAGCCUCCCAGUUCAUGUUGCUUAGGGAACCUGAUAUUUUCGUGAAACCUGCCUACACAUGGGCAGCCCAACAGCAGAACAAAUGGUGGUGACCAAAGUGAACAAAGAAGUAUAGUUGUGCCAGCUUCGUAGUUGCCCAUGUGGACAAGUCAGCAGGAUCAGGACACGAGGAAGAGUAAAUGUGAGACAGUCAAUGUGACUUCUGCGAUAAACAGAUUUUUAAACCCCGAAAUUUUGCAAAAUUUUGGUGAAACCUGAACUUUCUUCGUUGCAUAUACUGGCACUAUCUGUACCAUCAUACAACUGUCUCACAUUAAAGCUAUUUUUCUUGGGCACUGAUGAGUAAGGUUGGUAUAAGUUCCUCAGAUCAACAAAAACCCAUUUUCCUGUAAGUCUUACAUUUAGUAUUUAAGGAACUAAAACUUAAAUACAUUUUGUGAAAUGGUUGACACUUCACUGAUAAUGAUUUAUUGCUUGGAUUAAUAAAUUUUCCAAAAGUUGUCUUAUGUAGAAUAUGGUUUGCAACCAGCAGAACCAUUAAUCUAUACUGCAAUGAUAUGCACUAUGUAUAAUUGUUUAAAAGCCUCUACUUAAUGAUGUAAAAUGCUCUAUUUAAUUACACAUUUGGGUAAACUGUAUACUAACAUCUGAUGGCAUUUUUCCACUGUUUGUUGCUUUUUUCAAAUACUUUAUUGUACAAAGCUGUUCUUAAUAUUUUUCAAGUUUUUUUCUUUGAAUUUUGCUAAUGUUUUCCUUGAAUUAUGAGCACUGACAGAAUGUGCUUAGCACUUUUGGCUAUUCACACAGCUUUUGAGCAUGAUUUGCAUCCAAUAUUUACAUUGCUAGCAAUAAUAAGCCAUCUGUGAGUUUUGUCAAAAGUUAUUGGGGAUUUUUUAAAUUUUAGAAAUGCAAAUUAUUGUUUCUUUGAACUAACUCUUAUGCAGUUGCAAAGGCAUUUCCAGUUGUUAUAGUUUGUGUACAAUAUCAGGUGUUCCAGAUUAUGAUUCAUUAUUAAUAUCAUUGCUUCCUUGUUCCCUCUGAGGUCCAGAAGAUUCAUGUUUA